rnacentral:rRNA from 1 species
UGCAAGUCGAACGGCAGCACGGAGCUUGCUCUGGUGGCGAGUGGCGAACGGGUGAGUAAUAUAUCGGAACGUACCCUNGAGUGGGGGAUAACGUAGCGAAAGUUACGCUAAUACCGCAUACGAUCUAAGGAUGAAAGUGGGGGAUCGCAAGACCUCAUGCUCGUGGAGCGGCCGAUAUCUGAUUAGCUAGUUGGUAGGGUAAAAGCCUACCAAGGCAUCGAUCAGUAGCUGGUCUGAGAGGACGACCAGCCACACUGGAACUGAGACACGGUCCAGACUCCUACGGGAGGCAGCAGUGGGGAAUUUUGGACAAUGGGCGAAAGCCUGAUCCAGCAAUGCCGCGUGAGUGAAGGAGGCCUUCGGGUUGUAAAGCUCUUUUGUCAGGGAAGAAACGGUGAAGGCUAAUAUCCUUUGCUAAUGACGGUACCUGAAGAAUAAGCACCGGCUAACUACGUGCCAGCAGCCGCGGUAAU